rnacentral:rRNA from 1 species
AGCGAACGCUGGCGGCAGGCUUAACACAUGCAAGUCGAACGGUCCUUCGGGAUAGUGGCGGACGGGUGAGUAACACGUGGGAACGUGCCCUUAGGUUCGGAACAACACAGGGAAACUUGUGCUAAUACCGGAUGAGCCCUUCGGGGGAAAGAUUUAUCGCAUUUGGAGCGGCCCGCGUGUGAUUAGCUUGUUGGUGAGGUAAUGGCUCACCAAGGUUACGAUCAGUAGCUGGUCUGAGAGGAUGGCCAGCCAUACUGGGACUGAGACCCGGCCCAGACUCCUACGGGAGCCAGCAGUGCGGAAUCUUGCGCAAUGGGCGAAAGACUGACGCAGCCAUGCCGCGUGGAUGAUGAAGGUCUUAGGAUUGUAAAAUCCUUUCACCGGGGACGAUAAUGACGGUACCCGGAGAAGAAGCCCCGGCUAACUUCGUGCCAGCCGCCGCCGUAACAC